rnacentral:rRNA from 1 species
GACGAACGCUGGCGGCGUGCCUAAUACAUGCAAGUCGAACGAACUCUGGUAUUGAUUGGUGCUUGCAUCAUGAUUUACAUUUGAGUGAGUGGCGAACUGGUGAGUAACACGUGGGAAACCUGCCCAGAAGCGGGGGAUAACACCUGGAAACAGAUGCUAAUACCGCAUAACAACUUGGACCGCAUGGUCCGAGUUUGAAAGAUGGCUUCGGCUAUCACUUUUGGAUGGUCCCGCGGCGUAUUAGCUAGAUGGUGGGGUAACGGCUCACCAUGGCAAUGAUACGUAGCCGACCUGAGAGGGUAAUCGGCCACAUUGGGACUGAGACACGGCCCAAACUCCUACGGGAGGCAGCAGUAGGGAAUCUUCCACAAUGGACGAAAGUCUGAUGGAGCAACGCCGCGUGAGUGAAGAAGGGUUUCGGCUCGUAAAACUCUGUUGUUAAAGAAGAACAUAUCUGAGAGUAACUGUUCAGGUAUUGACGGUAUUUAACCAGAAAGCCACGGCUAACUACGUGCCAGCAGCCGCGGUAAUACGUAGGUGGCAAGCGUUGUCCGGAUUUAUUGGGCGUAAAGCGAGCGCAGGCGGUUUUUUAAGUCUGAUGUGAAAGCCUUCGGCUCAACCGAAGAAGUGCAUCGGAAACUGGGAAACUUGAGUGCAGAAGAGGACAGUGGAACUCCAUGUGUAGCGGUGAAAUGCGUAGAUAUAUGGAAGAACACCAGUGGCGAAGGCGGCUGUCUGGUCUGUAACUGACGCUGAGGCUCGAAAGUAUGGGUAGCAAACAGGAUUAGAUACCCUGGUAGUCCAUACCGUAAACGAUGAAUGCUAAGUGUUGGAGGGUUUCCGCCCUUCAGUGCUGCAGCUAACGCAUUAAGCAUUCCGCCUGGGGAGUACGGCCGCAAGGCUGAAACUCAAAGGAAUUGACGGGGCCCGCACAAGCGGUGGAGCAUGUGGUUUAAUUCGAAGCUACGCGAAGAACCUUACCAGGUCUUGACAUACUAUGCAAAUCUAAGAGAUUAGACGUUCCCUUCGGGGACAUGGAUACAGGUGGUGCAUGGUUGUCGUCAGCUCGUGUCGUGAGAUGUUGGGUUAAGUCCCGCAACGAGCGCAACCCUUAUUAUCAGUUGCCAGCAUUAAGUUGGGCACUCUGGUGAGACUGCCGGUGACAAACCGGAGGAAGGUGGGGAUGACGUCAAAUCAUCAUGCCCCUUAUGACCUGGGCUACACACGUGCUACAAUGGAUGGUACAACGAGUUGCGAACUCGCGAGAGUAAGCUAAUCUCUUAAAGCCAUUCUCAGUUCGGAUUGUAGGCUGCAACUCGCCUACAUGAAGUCGGAAUCGCUAGUAAUCGCGGAUCAGCAUGCCGCGGUGAAUACGUUCCCGGGCCUUGUACACACCGCCCGUCACACCAUGAGAGUUUGUAACACCCAAAGUCGGUGGGGUAACCUUUUAGGAACCAGCCGCCUAAGGUGGGACAGAUGAUUAGGGUG